rnacentral:rRNA from 1 species
AGAGUUUGAUCCUGGCUCAGGAUGAACGCUGGCGGCGUGCUUAACACAUGCAAGUCGAACGAGGUUUAAGCGGAAGCCCUUCGGGACGGAAGCUUUUACCGAGUGGCGGACGGGUGAGUAACGCGUGGGUAACCUGCCCUGUACUGGGGGGCAACAGUUGGAAACGACUGCUAAUACCGCAUAAGCGCACGAGAUCGCAUGGUUUUGUGUGAAAAACUCCGGUGGUACAGGAUGGACCCGCGUCUGAUUAGCUUGUUGGUGGGGUAACGGCCUACCAAGGCGACGAUCAGUAGCCGACCUGAGAGGGUGAUCGGCCACAUUGGGACUGAGACACGGCCCAAACUCCUACGGGAGGCAGCAGUGGGGAAUAUUGCACAAUGGGGGAAACCCUGAUGCAGCAACGCCGCGUGAGUGAAGAAGUAUUUCGGUAUGUAAAGCUCUAUCAGCAGGGAAGAAAAUGACGGUACCUGACUAAGAAGCCCCGGCUAACUACGUGCCAGCAGCCGCGGUAAUACGUAGGGGGCAAGCGUUAUCCGGAUUUACUGGGUGUAAAGGGCGCGUAGGCGGUAAUGCAAGUCAGAAGUGAAGACCCCGGGCUUAACCCUGGGAUUGCUUUUGAAACUGUAUAACUAGAGUGCUGGAGGGGUAAGCGGAAUUCCUAGUGUAGCGGUGAAAUGCGUAGAUAUUAGGAAGAACACCGGUGGCGAAGGCGGCUUACUGGACAGUAACUGACGCGAGGCUCGAAAGCGUGGGGAGCAAACAGGAUUAGAUACCCUGGUAGUCCACGCGGUAAACGAUGAAUACUAGGUGUUGGCACCCGUAGGGUGUCGGUGCCGUCGCAAACGCAAUAAGUAUUCCACCUGGGGAGUACGUUCGCAAGAAUGAAACUCAAAGGAAUUGACGGGGACCCGCACAAGCGGUGGAGCAUGUGGUUUAAUUCGAAGCAACGCGAAGAACCUUACCAAGUCUUGACAUCCCCCUGACCGGCAUAGAGAUAUGCCUUUCCUUCGGGACAGGGGAGACAGGUGGUGCAUGGUUGUCGUCAGCUCGUGUCGUGAGAUGUUGGGUUAAGUCCCGCAACGAGCGCAACCCUUAUCUUUAGUAGCCAGCAUUUCGGAUGGGCACUCUAGAGAGACUGCCCGGGAUAACCGGGAGGAAGGUGGGGAUGACGUCAAAUCAUCAUGCCCCUUAUGACUUGGGCGACACACGUGCUACAAUGGCGUAACAAAGAGAAGCGAGACCGUGAGGUGGAGCAAAUCUCAAAAAUAACGUCUCAGUUCGGACUGUAGUCUGCAACCCGACUACACGAAGCUGGAAUCGCUAGUAACCGCGGAUCAGAAUGCCGCGGUGAAUACGUUCCCGGGUCUUGUACACACCGCCCGUCACACCAUGGGAGCCGGAAACGCCCGAAGCCUGUGACCUAACCGCAAGGAAGGAGCAGUCGAAGGUGGGGCUGGUAACUGGGGUGAAGUCGUAACAAGGUAGCCGUAUCGGAAGGUGCGGCUGGAUCACCUCCUU